GACGAACGCUGGCGGCGUGCUUAACACAUGCAAGUCGAACGAAGAGCGAUGGAAGCUUGCUUCUAUCAAUCUUAGUGGCGAACGGGUGAGUAACGCGUAAUCAACCUGCCCUUCAGAGGGGGACAACAGUUGGAAACGACUGCUAAUACCGCAUACGAUCUAAUCUCGGCAUCGAGGAAAGAUGAAAGGUGGCCUCUAUUUAUAAGCUAUCACUGAAGGAGGGGAUUGCGUCUGAUUAGCUAGUUGGAGGGGUAACGGCCCACCAAGGCGAUGAUCAGUAGCCGGUCUGAGAGGAUGAACGGCCACAUUGGGACUGAGACACGGCCCAGACUCCUACGGGAGGCAGCAGUGGGGAAUCUUCCGCAAUGGACGAAAGUCUGACGGAGCAACGCCGCGUGAGUGAUGACGGCCUUCGGGUUGUAAAGCUCUGUUAAUCGGGACGAAAGGCCUUCUUGCGAACAGUUAGAAGGAUUGACGUACCGGAAUAGAAAGCCACGC
rnacentral:rRNA from 1 species